CACGUAGGGCGCAAGCGUUGUCCGGAAUUAUUGGGCGUAAAGAGCUCGUAGGCGGUCUGUUACGUCUGCUGUGAAAACCCGGGGCUUAACCCCGAGCCUGCAGUGGAUACGGGCAGACUAGAGGUAGGUAGGGGAGAAUGGAAUUCCCGGUGUAGCGGUGAAAUGCGCAGAUAUCGGGAGGAACACCGGUGGCGAAGGCGGUUCUCUGGGCCUUACCUGACGCUGAGGAGCGAAAGCGUGGGGAGCGAACAGG
rnacentral:rRNA from 1 species